CUGGUCUCGAAUUCCUAACCUCAGGUGAUCCGCCUGCCUUGGCCUCCCAAAGUGCUGGGAUUACAGGCGUGAGCCACCACGCCUGCCCUGGUUUUGUUUUUAAAGGAAAAUUUGGAGAGAAAGACUGUUGACUGACAUACAUUACAUCCUUACAACAUUGACUUUGCCAAGGAAGGACACCAGAUCAUGACUUCAUAAAAUCCAGAGUGAAUCUCUAAACUUUAUUUCAACCUCCAGCCCCAGCAAAUCAGAGGUAAGGGUGAGCAAAUUGGACAGACCUGCAUUUUAACUCCUUUUACAUCUCCUUCCCAAUGUUUAACAGAGGCAUUAACUAGCAGACAAGGAAGGGGUCUAGAGAUCCACAAACUAGGGAACUGCAACAAGUGCUUGUGACAUGUCAGAGGGCAAUCAACUCCUACAGUUACUUCAAAUGUAGCAGAAACCAUCUUAUGAUGGUGGCAGACUCACACUCACCCCCACCCCUGCAAGUAUAUCAAGAAGGUUUUAGAGACCAUGAUUUGGUAAUGAGGGAAGGGUUUCCAUAUGGUUAACAUCCUUGUACCGUGAGUCUGCAAAUGACUUUCCUUUGUGCCUAGAUUGUACCUUAGGAUUGAUACCUCUGAUUAUGGCUCACUCAAAAACAUGGAGCUAGCUACUUCCAAUUUAUAUUUAACAUUUUGGGCCUUAUUUCCCUGGCAUGGAUGAGCAUACGACCCAGUCUCAACUCUAUUAAUCCACCACUCUUGGGACUCCAAUCUAAGUCUUAAAAGGGAAAUAAAGCAGACUGAAUGUAAAGACUCUGUUUCAACAUAACUAUAAUUUGGAAUAAUUUUAAAAUGCUAGGGUGGGCAUGGU
rnacentral:lncRNA from 1 species